UUUUUUUUUUUUGAAUUUGAUGUUAAAUUAAACUCAAAAAAGAAAAUAACGUUUUUACAUCAAGUGCGACUUUUUGUUGAAAAAUUAAUAGUGAAAGUGUUUUAGCUUGUGGAUUCUGGUUAAGAGGAUUUGAAAUCGGUACUUCAAUGGCUUGUGGAUUUAUUAUAGAGUCUGAUGCUAAUGGCGUUGGUGAUUAUGAGCUGCAAAACUACAACAUUUUGAGUGUACAGUCUUGAUUCAAGUCUUGUCUUGUAUGGAGAAGCAAAUGGCAAGUACUUUGCUUUAAGCACUGCAUAGUAGAAUCUGAGGCAAGCUUGAGUAAUAAGGAUCUGAAGAUGGAGAAGCCCUUUGCGAAUACUUCAGCUGGCAAAAUCUUUCCCUUCUUCUUCUUCAAGAAUUGAUUUCGUUCGGUUUGCGUUGGAAUUAAUUAAGAAAAAAACAAAAAGUCACGCACGCGAGGCUUUUUAAAAAAGGAGCGAGUGUGUUUCAAAACAGGCCAUUUGGUGGGUUAACUCGCGAGUGGUGAGAGUGGGCGUGAAAUCGCGCGAUGGGUGAGAGAGGGGUGUGACAUGGAGCCAUCUGAUUGGCUAAUAUAAUGAAAAUAGUAGAGAUGUAGCUCCUACCUUCCUCCUCUCAUAAUAACUUUUAUUAUUACUUCUUCUCUUUUCGUCUUCUAUCUUUGUGAAUAAACAAGCUAUGAGAUGAUUACAAAAAAAAACUUUUAGACAAAAUUUUGUCUAGUUUAUAUUAUUUAGUCAGCUUGAGAAUGAAAUUCAGAUUUCUUCAAUCUGAAAGUUGGUGUUUUUGGAUACAAUUGAGAGUCUUAUUCCAUCAUUAUAAACGAUUCUGUACAAUUGAGAGGACAACCUAUGGCUGGCAUGAAAACAUUGUUUCCUCUUUAUCUUCCUCUUCCUCUUGCUCUUUGGUCUGUGUAGAGCAUGUUUCUUGGAUUUGAAGACCAAACAGCUUCUGCAGACCAAACAGCUUCUGAGGGAAUCUCAUCUGACAAGCCAUUGUUAUUCUCAAGCUCAAGGGUUUCAAGAUUUGUCAGAUUCUGAAGUUCCACCAGAUAACUUGUUCAGGCUCAAAGACAGAGUUGAUAGAUUGACUAACUUCUCAUCUCAAAAGACAAUGAAUUGUUCUGGAGAUCAAACGUUUCGAGCUUACUCAACUGUGAUACAGACAAUGGUUUAGAACCACUGAACAUGUUCGGCCAUAAUGUCAGCGUCCGCAGUUUGGCAAGACUACCUUGUAACACAAUAAAGUCAGUAUGAUUUACAACCCAUAUCUAUGAUCUUCAUACAUGAAUAAGUUUGAAUUCUGAGAUUGAGUUUAUGAUUUUACCUAUUUCUGGAGGAAUCUCUCCCUCAAUGAAAUUCUCAUACAAGAUCAGUUCCUGCAGAUUCUUGAGCUCUUUGAUGUCACCACUCAACGUACCACCAAUAACAUUCAUGCUUAAGUCCAAGCGCCGAAGAGUCUUCAAGGAGAACAAUUCAGGAGGGAUAGAGCCGUUAAAGCUCUUAUCACUCAUGUCAAGAGAGAUAAAACUGGUCAAGCUCACAAACCCAUCUCCAGGAAUCUCUCCUUAUAUGAAAUUAGACGAGAUAUCGAGCGUCACAAGUGAGCUUAUCCUCAGAACCGGUCUCAGAAUGCUUGAACUCACACUGAGCCAGAGAAGACAAGAGAGUGCAGAUUCAGGUCUAUCACUACUCUGGUAGGGGAACGAGUGUUGCAUCUGACGAGUUGCAGUUGCAGCUAUCUGAGUUUGGCCUCCACGUCUCUAAACCUUCCAAGGUGAUUAUUGCUGUGGUGUGGUUAUUGGUGUUCUGAGUCAGCAAGAUCUUGAACUCAAGAAGGGAUUGUAUUUGGUCUUGUGGGCAAGAGAAAGAUAUUUGUGGAAUGAAGAAGACGAAGAACACGAGGACACAAGAGAGAAUACAUGGCUUCAGCAUUUUUGUCAGAGCUAUUGUUUUUUGCCAGUCACAGGUUCUUCUGUAUGUCUCCUUUAUAGCUACAACAAGUCCAAGACGAGAUUAUUGCUAAAAGACUGAAAUCCGAACAAUGUUUUUGAUGCUGCAGUUGCAUUCGCUGCACGGUAAAACAGUUGUGAGAAUUUCAGCUGGUAAAUGCUGGGCAUCUGCUGUUACUAGUACAGGUGAAGUUUACAUGUGGGAUGGGAAGAAUGGCAAAGAUAUGCCACCAUCUCUUUCUCGCCUCCAUAACUUGAAAAGGGCAACCACAGUUGCUGUUGGUGAAAAACAUCUGCUGGUUGUGGGUUCUCUGUUUCAUCCUGCCUAUGCUCUUACUGUGCUUAAGAAGUCUCAGACUGUGCAAGCGGAUGAAAUUAGGGAAGAAGAAAAUGAAGAACUGGAUGAGGGUUUUAUGUUUGAUGAUGUCGAAUCUGUGAACCUGUUAGUCUGUUACAAUCCGUGCAACACGAUAAUCCAAAGGAGAGGACAGUACCUAGCUUGAAAAGUUUAUGCGAGAAGGUAGUAGCGGAGUAUAUUGUAGAGCCACAAAAAUGCUAUUCAACUGCUUGAAAUUGCGGAUUCUCUUGCUGACGGUCACUACUACAAUUGGUUAUGGUUCUCCCAUCAAGGAAAACUCAUACAGUGUCCAUGUAGCUACGCUUGGGGAGAAGGAAGUUGAGGCUACCAGAAACCUGAGGAUGUCAAUAGCCAUUGGCGCCGUCACACGCCCGAAGGCGCUGCUCUUGAAGCUGAUUGGAAUGCCAAAUUUGCAGCUUAUGAGAAGAAAUAUCCAGAGGAAGCUGCAGAGUUGAAGUCUAUUAUCUCAGGUGAAUUGCCCACCGGUUGGAAGAAGGCACUUCCUACAUAUACACCAGAAUCUCCGGGUGAUGCCACCAGAAACCUGUCUAAGCAAUGUCUUAACACACUUGCGAAAGUUGAGCCUGGCUUUCUUGGCGGGAGUGCUGACCUUGCAUCUUCCAACAUGACAUUGCUUAAAGCAUUCAUGUUGCCAUUUUUGUAGGGCCUUUUAAAAAUAUUGUUGGCUUGCAGACCAGUUGCAAGGCAGAGUGAUCCAGUCACUCGAGUUGCCAUUUUCUCAAGUGGUAAUGUUAUCAUCGGUACACCAGCCCAUUUUCUGUUUUUGAUUAAAAUCCGGUUAAAUUCGGAUAAAUUCGGUUAGAUUGGAUAUAAUAACUAAAAGAAAAGAAAACAAAAUGUGGGCCAUUUGUUAACUUAGCCCAAACGAAAAUUGGGCAUUUUUUAAUACAGCCCAAACGAAAUUGGGCCUUUUUUUGCUUAGAGAAACAAAAUUAAGGCCUCUUUAUCCUAUUUUAUUUUUGUUCAGAUCUAUACAUACAUUUUGUGUG